rnacentral:rRNA from 1 species
CUAUGCGCCUUGCCAGCCCGCUCAGGUGUGCCAGCCGCCGCGGUAAUACGUAUGGAGCAAGCGUUAUCCGGAUUUACUGGGUGUAAGGGAGCGUAGGCGGCCCGCCAAGUCUGAUGUGAAAUACCGGGGCUCAACCCCGGGGCUGCAUUGGAAACUGGCAGGCUGGAGUGUCGGAGAGGCAGGCGGAAUUCCUAGUGUAGCGGUGAAAUGCGUAGAUAUUAGGAGGAACACCAGUGGCGAAGGCGGCCUGCUGGACGAUGACUGACGCUGAGCACGAAGGCCAGGGAGCGAACAGG